rnacentral:rRNA from 1 species
GACCGCCUCUAAGCGCGCACCCCGCCUCGCGCCCCGCCCGGCCGCGCGCCCCAGCCCCGUGCCCCGUCGCCGAGCGGCCCCCGCCCGGGGAGACCACCCGGCGCGGCGCUCCUGUACGGCGCAGAGCCCUGCGAUCGCCUGAGGGACGCGCCUGCAGAGCGCGGGGCGGGGCGCGCGACUCACUUGCUCUGGGGGGGGGGGGUGUGCGGGCCAGACAGGCAGGGCGCGGAAAGAGAAGAUUGAGGGAGUGCAGGGGGACCGAGGGGCAGCAGGGGAGGUGUGCACGCCCACCACCGGGUCCCCCCGUGCAGAGAGACCCCCGUGUGCGCAGGGGGCCCGCGUGUGCUGCACAGCGCCGCCGGGGGGCCGCCGGAGGAGA